rnacentral:rRNA from 1 species
GACGAACGCUGGCGGCGUGCUUAACACAUGCAAGUCGAACGGAAAGGCCCUGCUUUUGUGGGGUGCUCGAGUGGCGAACGGGUGAGUAACACGUGAGUAACCUGCCCUUGACUUUGGGAUAACUUCAGGAAACUGGGGCUACUACCGGAUAGGAGCUCCUGCUGCAUGGUGGGGGUUGGAAAGUUUCGGCGGUUGGGGAUGGACUCGCGGCUUAUCAGCUUGUUGGUGGGGUAGUGGCUUACCAAGGCUUUGACGGGUAGCCGGCCUGAGAGGGUGACCGGCCACAUGGGGACUGAGGUACGGCCCAGACUCCUACGGUAGGCAGCAGUGGGGAAUAUUGCACAAUGGGCGGAAGCCUGAUGCAGCAACGCCGCGUGCGGGAUGACGGCCUUCGGGUUGUAAACCGCUUUCGCCUGUGACGAAGCGGGAGUGACGGUAAUGGGUAAAGAAGCACCGGCUAACUACGUG